AACGAACGCUGGCGGCAGGCCUAACACAUGCAAGUCGAGCGAGGUAGCAAUACCUAGCGGCGGACGGGUGAGUAACGCGUGGGAACGUGCCCCUUGGUACGGAAUAGCCCCGGGAAACUGGGAGUAAUACCGUAUGAGCUCUACGGAGGAAAGAUUUAUCGCCAAGGGAUCGGCCCGCGUUGGAUUAGGUAGUUGGUGGGGUAAUGGCCUACCAAGCCGACGAUCCAUAGCGGGUUUGAGAGGAUGAACAGCCACACUGGGACUGAGACACGGCCAGACUCCUACGGGAGGCAGCAGUGGGGAAUCUUAGACAAUGGGCGCAAGCCUGAUCUAGCCAUGCCGCGUGAGCGAUGAAGGCCUUAGGGUUGUCAAGUUCGUUCAGCUGGGAAGAUAAUUACUGUACCAGCAGAAGAAGCCCCGGCUAACUCCGUGCCAGCCGCCGCAGUAA
rnacentral:rRNA from 1 species